UCGAGAAUCUUUCGCAAUGGGCGAAAGCCUGACGAAGCGACGCUGUGUGUGUGAUGAAGGCCCUCGGGUCGUAAAGCACUUUCGCCCGCGAACAAGAAAUUUCUGCUAACAUCAGGAAGAUUUGAGAGUAGUAGGUAAAGAAGCACCGGCUACUACGUGCCAGCAGCUGCGGUAAUACGUAGGGUGCAAGCAUUAAUCGGAUUUAUUGGGCGUAAAGGGCGCGUAGGCGGAAAUGCCAGUCAGAUGUGAAAGCCCGGGGCUCAACCCCGGAACAGCAUUUGAAACUACAUUUCUAGAGGGUAGACGGAGAAAACGGAAUUCCACAAGUAGCGGUGAAAUGCGUAGAUAUGUGGAAGAACACCAGUGGCGAAGGCGGUUUUCUAGUUUAUACCUGACGCUGAGGCGCGAAAGCAAGGGGAGCAAACAGGAUUAGAUACCCUGGUAGUCCUUGCCGUAAACUAUGUAUACUUGGUGUAGCUGGAAUCAACCCUGGCUGCGCCGG
rnacentral:rRNA from 1 species